GCUUCCCGUCUCCUUCAACGUCACCCAAAUUGAGGCACAACGUCAACGAAAGCAAACCUUAAUUGAGCCUAGCCAACAUGGAUAAAAAUAUAGACCAUGGAAUACGCUCUGUACAUUGCAAUGGAAGCACAGUGUGAUUUCACUGAGGAAAAAAUGCAGCAAAUUAGGCGGCGGUGGUGCCUAGUUCUCCUGCAGAACUUUCCCAUGCAGAGGAUGUAGAAGACGCCUCCCCCCAAGAAGUCACAACAUGUCACAUCAGCAUCCAGCUCUGCAGGAUCAGGUACUGUAUAGGCUAUUAGCUAAAUUAAGGUGUAUUAUUGUACACACAUCCAUAGAGGUUCCCUUGCAUUACUUAAUGACCACAAUCUGUUUCUUUUCUUUCUAGACGAUACUGAAAACAAAACACGACGAGCUGUGAACUGGGUAUUAGUCUACUGUGUGUAAUGCUGAAGGCUUGAUGCAUGGCAAGAUAUAAUAGUUGUGAUGACUUGAUGAGUAGUUAUAGAUAUCACUGAAAACCCCUUUAGUAAUAGUGGCUUUUGUUUGCAAGGUUGGUAUUGUGAAAGUAGGGUGUAAUUUGACUUGAUGAGCCAAUACUCUUAAUAUUUAUUCUUCCUUUUUCUUCAAGGAAGCAGAUGUUCUUCUAAGGGACACCCUAGAGGCAGCGAACAUUUAAAGGCACUGUUUCCCUCCCUAGUGUAAUUGGGAUGGACGGGGAAGACCGCAUUACAAUCCUUAAAGAACUACGGUUGUAUGAUGGCCUGGAUGAAGAGGAACAUAUUCUCCUCAAGGAACCCUUCAUGUUCCAGAGAGAUUAUGAGAUAUUCUAUGUGGAGGCCGUUGACAACAAGAACAUUACUGUCUUUGCCUCUUUUGAGGAGCAGGAGUGAAGCCAUUUUUGAGGAGUAGUCAAACCUUGUUUUUGUCUGCUGUUUCAAUUGUUAAUUGUGUUAUGUUGUUUAGUAAAGAUGACAUAGAAGUCACCCGAGUCUCUGAUCUCUGUACUGGAGCUGGUAUAACUUAAUGUACAAAGCACCUUCAGCUAUUCAGUAUGUCUACUAUAUAGUUUAGUCUGUCUCCAUUCUCAUUGGGAAAGUAAAUAGCAUUAUAAAUCAGGGUAGGUAGUAACUGUAUGUAUGUGUGUAUGCUCAAUUAAAUAAUAUAAAGUUAACAUUUAUCAACACAAUUUUAACAGUACAUGACAUAAGUCUGUACACUGCAACAAUAUCAGUAGCUUGUCUAAAGUAUAGCAUGAAGCAAAAAGUGUUACAACACAUCUAGUACCACUUUGUAUAAUUAUUUCUUACAGUUUCAAAAAUGAAAUACGUUUGUAUUCAAUGCGUGCCUUGUGCAAACUUACGUGUUAGUAUUCAGUGUGUGACUGUCAAACGUUUGACUCCGACCACAUUGAGACCGGCCCUGAAUUGCACACUGCAGUCAGGUGUACUUGUCAGGACUUGCACUUUCCAAAGGAAGGGACAGAGAUUUGCAAAAUUUCUGUAUUUGAAAUACGAAUUUCAAUUCUGAGUAUUUUGUCAUUUGUAGUACACUGGGCUGAACUAAACUCAAAUGUAUUUUGUAACAAGAUACUUUAGAGAGCUGUAGGUAUAUGUGAAUUUAUACUUUCAAAAUAAAUACUUUUCUAUACCAUUUAUUUUUAGUGGUUCACAACUGG